rnacentral:rRNA from 1 species
AAUUGCCUUCAGAGUCCCUAAAAGCACAAUAUUCUGUCUGAUCUUCGGAGCUAAGUAGGGUCAGCCCUGGUUAGUAUUUGGAUGGGUGACUGCCAAUGAAUACCAGGUAUAGUAAGCU